rnacentral:lncRNA from 1 species
ACUUAAUAAAAUUACUAAUUUUACUACUUCACUUGCACAAGGACUUUUUUUUUUUCUUCAGGAAGAUGAGCCCUGAGCCAACAUCUGUGCCCAUCUUCCUCUAUUUUGUAUGUGGGACACCUGCCAUAGUGUGGCUUGAUAAGUAGUGUGUAGGUCCGAAGCUGGGAUCCAAAUCAGUGAACCCUAGACCACCAAAGUAGAGCCUGCAAACUUAACCGCUAUGCCUCCAGGCCGGCUCCAGCAAGGACAUGCUGAAAGUGAAACUAGCUGUUUUUUUAAAAAAUGGAAGCUCCUGACAGUGACAAAUAUAAUGACUCCUGGUACAGUUUGAUGUCACUGCUUUGAGUUGUAUUAAGGCACCAACAAUUUUCCCUAUGAUUGCUUUUGCACCAUCCGUGCAAAUCUCAACACAGUAAAAGACUUAAAUAAUGUCUUAGUAUUAGUAAAAUAAUUUGACCUCACCCAUCCCUGAGAAGGUCUUGGAGACUCCCAGAGGUCUGUGGACCCUGCUUAGAGAACCACUGCACCAGGUUAUUCUGCCUCAUUCUGUUCUCAGUGGUGGUCCGACCGUGUCUUACAUAUUUCACUAUUAGGACACUGAGGCCCAGCGGAGCCCGACCAUUGGUCCUUGUCUCUCAUUCUGGCACUGAAGUGAGAAUUUUCUUCCUGGUGGGGAAUGGGGAGGCUUCUCAGGGGAGGUGACAUUGAUCUUAUGGACAAGCAGCAGACCAAAAGGCAGGGGUGGGGGCCUGGGAGUGCAUUCUUAGUGGAGGGAACAGCAUUGGCAAAGGCCCAGGGUACUAAGGGCCUCAAAUGCCAGCCGCAGGGCAGUGGUCACCACAGAGCAGUGUUGACCGGGGAAGCGAUGGAUGAGAUGUGCCCAGAGACAGGGACGAUCAGAGAAGAGGUCCCUAGUCCUUUACCAGGGGCCUUCCCGUCGUCUGGCCUCAGGGCUGUGUCCUUAGGGUGGGGUUGACAUGUGGUUACCCAGAUGGACUCACCCUUCAUGACCGUGACUGGCAGAGUAUGGUCUGCUGCCCAGAAUUCCCUGCUGAAAAGUUUCUCCACAGACGUUUACACUGACCAUAGCUGUUUUUUUCCUUUGUAUUGGCUUUUUUGGUGACAGUGGCUAGCCUCACCGAGUUCCUUGUGCCAUGCAUGAAUGUGAGGGUGACCUGGGCAAGAGAUGGCAGCUGACGGGAUUGGUGGUGAUGGCAGGUCAGUAUGUGAUGGGUGCCUAGGUCUGAGUCCUGUGAAAGUGGGGACUGUAGAGGUGACUCUGAGCAGGGACGGCUUCCCAUUCCCACCUCAGGCCUGGCUGCCCUUCUCCUCCAAUGGGCCCUCUGUCCCUGCCCCAACUUGUCCCCUUGAGCUGCUAGAGCUCAGCUCCUGACCAGAUCUGAUAUGGGGAGACAGACAGUUUCUGUGCAAGACAGGCCUCUACAUCCUGCUGUGUACGUCUGUCCUCCUGGGCUGGGUCCCUGGGCCUGUGUGGGUGUGCCACACACAUGUUCAUGGCUGUGCUGUGGGACUGUGUGGUACGUCCUGAGACAUGUAUGUUUGUGACUGACACAUGGUGCGCUCUACCCCCAAAUGCUUGUGAGCUGUAUAUCAUGCCGUGCAUGUUGAGUCAUGUGUGGUCUGUAUUCCUGCCUUUAAUUGGGUGGUGUGUAUUGUGUCUAUAGUUUUUGCAUGUCUUUUGGAGGGUGUGAGUGUCACUGUGGGGGGUACGUGUUUUUGUGUGAUGGUUUGUCAUUGUUGAUCUUGGCCCAGCCCCAGAAGAAGGCCUGCUGAGGCGUUGGGGGUGAGGACUGUGCCUAGACGGGAAGCCCACAGCUGGGAGGUCAGACUGGGAACAGACAUGUCCUCACCCGCCCAGAGAGUGUCACAAGCCCUCAAAGAGCCCCUGUCCAGCUUCACCACCCCUGGCCAGUCAGGGUAGGUGACUAGAAAGGGGGCAUGAGGGAAUCAAAACAACCUUGGCCCACCUCCCACCCCUUGCUGGCACUUGAGCCUAGUGCUGGUGCCCUGGUGCCCUGGGCCGGUCCUCCUAAGGCUCCAAGCACCUGGUAUUGUGGGGGUUGGACAGGGGACAGAGACAUGGCUCGGUUUGGCUCUUGUGACCAAAUUCAGCUUGUAGUGGACCAUGGAGGCAGAGCAGCCCAAGGUCUUACUGGGGCUGGGGCUGCACGGGGUACCAGCCCCACUGAGACAGGCCUGAGGCUAAGUUCAUUACGUGUGUCAUACAGCCAGCAAAUAUUUACUGAGCUUGUGCUCUGUUCCAGGCCCACUUUAGGUGCUGGGAAUAUGGCAGUCACCUCACUGAAUUAGGAGGGAGGCCAGGGGGACUGCUGCUGUGCAUUUUACAGAUGAAGAAACAGAUCCUGAGAGGUUAAGUAAUUUGCCCAAAGUCACAGCAAAGCUGAGAUUUGAAACCAGGCCUGUCUCAUGCCAGAGCCCCCUCCUCCUGCCCUUGAUGCUUACAAUUAACAGCCUACAUGCAUUGAGCUAGGACCAGCUGGGACCGGCAAGGGGCUGGGCAGGCAAUGCUUGGCUAGCCUUGUGCCGUGGGCUAUUGGCUGAUGCAGGAGGGUGGGUACAGUAACUUGUGGCCUCCUAAUUGCUCUGCAGGGAAGGUGGGUUGCCUGGGGUGGUCCCCUGGGCCCCUGGGCUGUGCAUAGAGAUGGUCAGGUAGAGAUUCAGGUGUGGGGGUAGGGGAGUGGAGGGCGAGCCUUGUGUCUUCAGGUUGCACUGGGACCCAAAGGAAUGCCUUCUCUCUGGCUGUGUGACCUGGGAUGGGCCCCUGCUUCCCUCUUAGGCUCAGCUUUCUCAUCUGUAAGUUGGGCACAAGAAUUGCCCCCUCCCAGUGGUACAAGGAUCACGGCACGGUGCCUGGUGCACAGUAGGGCAGCUGGGGGGAUGGGGCAGAGCUGGAAGUUGGCAGGGCCUCCCCAGGGCUCUCUGCUCAGCCCCAGGAAAUGGGUAGGGGGUAGGGAGGAGGAGGAGCAGAUGUGCCCGCGUCUCACAAGAGCAGCCGCAUUUAGCCACCGAGUUGGGAUUGAAAUAUUCCUGAGGGAGAAGAACCCUGAGGCUUCAGGGCGGCAACAGCUCGUCAGUGGGGAGCGGGGAAGGGAUGUUGUCACCAUCUGCCUCGUGUCUGUCUGCGACUAAAAUAAUACUGGGGUGAGACUCGCCGCAGGCACGGGCCCAGCCGCAAGGUUCCCCGGAAGAGGGAGGGGCCAAGGGGUGCUGGAAGGCUUGCGGUGGGAUCAGCCUCAUGAGUUCAGGGCCAGGGGACCCCCAAGAUUCUGGGGUCUGCUCCAGAGGGGAGACCAAGCAUGUGCUGAGGUCCCAGUAAAGCAGAGGCAACAACAGAGACAAAAAGAGAGGGACAGACAAAUUGCCUGAUUCAGCUUCCAUGAGCUGAUCCAGAAUAUGAAACCAGAAAACGUAGCAAGAAGCUAUUUUGAUUUCAGCCGACGUAUAAGUUUUGGGUGUAUGGUUUACUGUGGUUUUUAUUUUGAAUUAAAUAUGGAGGCUGCUCCAUAAUCUCCUCAGAGCUCAGGGCUGUGGGGACAGAGUGCCUGCCGUUCCCGCUGGACAUGGUAGGCACUCGCUAGCUGGCUCUGAGUGUUGGUACCCCUGGGCCCAGGCUGGCGCCCCUUCAGAUUGGGACCUGGCUGGAAGCCUGACGCUUGGCCUCUGGGUGGUGAAGCAGUCAUGUCUGGUCUUCUGCUGUGGGUCUCACCAGACGCGAGCAGUUGGGUAUUUUUGUUUUUGCAAAGAGAACAGACCAUGACCUCAGCGGUUUAUUUGAACUGCAGAAGCACCCUAACUGCUGGUUGCUGUGUGCUGACAAGAUGCAGGAGUAUCAGUUCACAGACAACACUAGAACACCUACUCUGUGCAGGCCCUGAGCUGGGGCAGGAUGGGCCCACUCUGAGCAUGCAGGGUCAGCCACCUGCGUGCCGGGGAGGGUGUUGGGGAAGUCAGUGAGGGGUGCUGGAUAGGGCAGGAGACCACAGCCGUCAUCCUGGAGGAGGUCGCAGAUAUGCUUAGCCUUGAAGAGGAGACGCAUGGUGACAGCAAAGGAGAGUGAGGAGGAUGCCCCAGUCAGAGGGAACCACAUGUACACAGGCCACCACUUUAUGGCUAGACCUCAUGCUAUCUGCUUUAUGUGUUUUCCCAGUCAAUCCUUACCAACACCCCAGGAGGUCAGUACACUUAGUGCCCAUCUUACAGAUGAGUAAACUGAGGCUCAGGGAACUCUAAUAACUUGUGUAAGUAGUAGAGGCCUGGCCUUGGGUUACUGUGGGCCACCCCUGCACGAUGUCCUCAGUCAGCAGGCAACAACUGAGCACCUACUAUGUGUUGGCCCUGAGCCAGGGUGCUUCCUGGAUUUGGACCCUCUAGUACCUUCCAGAGUGUCCUCAGAUGGCUGGGGUCUCUCAUCUCCAUCCAGGGACAAUGACCAAAGGAACCUCUCUCCAGGGUGUGAGUGUGUAUAUGGGGGAGUGGGAUGCAGGUGGGAGCCUGGAGAUCCCUAUUCUACAACCUUGAGCAAAUCUCUCCCUCCACUGAGCCUCAGUUUCCUCAUCUGUAGAAGGGGCCUACAGCACCUGCCAUGCAGGCUCCUGGUGAGGAGUGAAAGUGAAGGCUUGUGUGAGAAGUCUUCUGUGAGUUCAAUUCUUCUCAAAACACCGGGAGCCAUCUUCCCAGAAUAAUCCAGCCACCAAGCUUUCCGUGCAGCUGACAGCCCCCCUUCCCCACGCCACCACAGCAGCCACCACCCUGAAUUAUUCAGGACCCUCCAGGCCUCUCUGGCAGCCCGUCCCCUCCCCCUGCACACCAGGCUGUCAGCACCAGCCGCUGAGCCUCUGCCACGGCUCUGCCGACCCUCAGGGCUCCAGGACUUCAGCCUGUUCAGGCCUCGCUGGGCACUGCCUGACGUCCCAUCCCCGUAGACUGCUCUGGGACCAUGCUGCUGGACGUGUUGUUUGCCUGGCUUUGGCUGGCAGAACCUCAGAGCCCCGUGGGAGGAGAGCUGCAAGUAGGGGAGGUGAGGCAGGGUGAGGAACUUGAUAGUUGUGGGGGACAGAUAGAACUGGGUAUGGAGAUAGGGCUGCUGUGCCUCAUGUCUGGGUCCAAGUCCCAGCUCCUUCACUCACUGGAGUGAACUGGGCAAGUCACUUCUAUCUCUGAGCCUCCAUUUCCUCCUCAGAACAAGGGGGUUUAUGGCGAUUAUGAUGGUCAUGAGACCUUGGGGUACAGUGCCUACACACUAAGCACUCCCCACAAGAUGUCCUAUGAGCUUGCCUUUUUCUUCUGGCUUUGGGAAGAUGGCCAGUUGGAGGCCUGGACACUGGCCUGCCAGAGUCUGGGCAGGUGGCUCCUUGUCCCCUUUCCCUAGCCCAGAAGGCCUGACUUCUCCCUACUGUACUCUUCCCCUCAGAGGGAUACGUGCGCACAUACAUGUAGAGGGCUCAUAGGAACAUAAGUCAGCAGGUCAUCCUGUCCAUCCCCCUGCAUUCUGGGAGGGUCAGCCCCAAGUCCCCAGCCCAGUGAGUGUGUUCCAUUCCUCUGUUCCUUCCCAUGGUCAGAAGCAGGAAUGGAGCAAGUCCUGCCCGUCCCAUCUCUGCCCUCACUUUUCCCCUCUGGAGCCACACAGGUGGGGUGUACUGGGUGGGAGGACUGAGUGUCCCUGCUACCGGGUCCUCAGAGCUGGCUAGCUCCCCCAGCACCCCACACCCGCUCGCCUGCAGAGCUGUGGCCCGGGCAGCUGUCCGGCUGAGCGGGUUAGCAACACAAGACAGAUGGCAAGGGAUUAUCUCAGCUUCUCAGAGUGC